rnacentral:lncRNA from 1 species
AGUUAUGUUACCUCGUCGGAGUUUGCUGGUAAUGACGGGAGAGUCUAGAUACCUUUGGACUCAUGGAAUUACACCUCGAAAAUUUGAUACCAUCCAAGCAUCUGAGCAAUUCAAAGGUGGAAUAAUCAACAGUGACAUUGGAGACUUGACUUUAAGCAAGAGGGGGAUGCGCACAUCGUUUACGUUUAGGAAAGUGAGGCGAAUACCGUGCAAUUGUAGUUACUCCUCCGUCUGUGACAGACAAAGGAAGGCCACACCUCCAUCCCUUUUGGAGAGCAGUAAAGAAGCACUGGAGCUAGAGCAAAAGCAUGUCCAUCAUGUGUACGAUGAGAUUGCAAGUCACUUCAGCAGCACGAGGCAUAGCCCAUGGCCACGCAUAGUAGAGUUCCUGAAAGCUUUGCCAAGUGGUUCCAUAGUGGCAGAUAUUGGAUGUGGAAAUGGAAAGUACCUUGGCAUCAACAAGAAUAUAGAGAUCAGAAGUCCAAGUAUCUUAAAGGAAACAGAAUUAGCCAAGGCGAUAAAGGUGAACUAAACAGUGCCACAUCCAUGGAACAAUUGCUAGUAAAUCAAAUGCCUGAGGGAGUCAGUGAAGACCCAGGAUUGUCUGUCCACUCCAGUAAUAACACCAAGGAUGAAGAGUGCCAAACAUAAUUUUGAAAAAGAACAAAGGGAUAAAGAACUUAAGCAACUUCGAGGUGAGGACACAUGGAUGCUACCUGAUGUGAAUGAGCGAAUUGAAC